rnacentral:rRNA from 1 species
AUUGAACGCUGGCGGCAGGCCUAACACAUGCAAGUCGAGCGCGAAAGCACUUCGGUGUGAGUAGAGCGGCGGACGGGUGAGUAACGCGUAAGAAUCUACCUAGUAGUCGGGGGACAACUCGGGGAAACUCGAGCUAAUACCGCAUACGCCUACGGGGGAAAGCGGGGGACCUUCGGGCCUCGCGCUAUUAGAUGAGCUUGCGUUGGAUUAGCUUGUUGGUGAGGUAAUGGCUCACCAAGGCUACGAUCCAUAGCUGGUCUGAGAGGAUGAUCAGCCACACCGGGACUGAGACACGGCCCGGACUCCUACGGGAGGCAGCAGUCGGGAAUAUUGCGCAAUGGGGGAAACCCUGACGCAGCCAUGCCGCGUGUGUGAAGAAGGCCCUAGGGUUGUAAAGCACUUUCAAUUGGGAGGAAAAGCUAAUAGUUAAUAACUAUUAGCCCUGACGUUACCUUUAGAAGAAGCACCGGCUAACUCCGUG